CUCUCAGGUGGCAUUCCAGACAUGCAAGAUCUAGAUUUCCAAAAUGAAGACCAGAGAUCAAGUUUUGUAUUGUAACUCUCUAGUGAUAAGCACCUCAGGAAUGAGUUUACCCAUCAGAACUGCUUCUCCUGCAGAAGUACCAGAAAUACAAUGGCCUGAUGGAGCAAAUUUCUUAGCAAGCAUAAAAAGAGGAAAAGAAAUUCCACCGUUCUCCUAAAAGUCUGCCUGAGUCUUUCAGAGCAUCAAGGAGCUGGAGCCUGAUACCUAUUAGAAUUUAUUCCUAAUAGAAUUCUAAGUGGGAAUGGGCAAAGCAGAAGCAAAACUUCUCUACCAUAUUUUCGCUGAUUGUCGAGAAGGGGAGGAGAGAAAUGAAUGACGAUUUGAUGAUGGCAGAGGCUUCCCAGCUGAAGUACAGAAAUGACAACCUCCAAGCAUGGAACCAAGGAAAAGGACUGGUAAUAACCUUCUAAUGAAUAAUUAUUUAAAAACAAAACAAAACAAACAAAAAUAAAAUAAAAACAGUAACACUUCCGAGGAAAUGUUCUGUAUAGGAAAAUAUUUUCCAAUCCCAGCCUUGUGAAAGUACUCUUUUUCAGGGAAGACUGUUAAAAGGAUUGCUGUGAUGAAAGACGUAUCUGAAUGUCCUGAGGAAACAAAUUAAAAAGAAGGUGCCUAUUUUCUGCUGCUUUCAGGACACCAAAUCAAGAAUACAACUGCUGCCUCACGUUUGCUCAUACCAUUCAUUAAUCUUACGUUUUUCAAGUGGCUUGGAAAUCCCCAUCUAUCACAGAGACCAACAAUUGUGUUACUGGACCAAGAUGAAUCUUGAUCAAAAAUAUUGAAUCUAUCCUUAGAAAAUAAGAAAUUUGGCAAUUCAGACAGUACAGUCAGUUAAUUAAUGUACUAAUAUUACCUCUAACAGCUUUCUAGACAUACGCACAAGAUGAGUACCUCCUAGAAAGUGUCAUUUUAACAUGAGAAACUUUAUUUUACAAUGCUUGCAUAACCAGUAUUACAUAAAUAUAUAUGAAGUAUACAUAAGUGCAUGUGUGUGAUGUGUUUGAUAAAUAUA